rnacentral:rRNA from 1 species
UUACACUCCCAAACCCCUGUGAACAUACCUAUUUGUUGCCUCGGCGGUGCCUGUUCCGACAGCCCGCCAGAGGACCCCAAACCCUGAUUACAUUUAAGAAGUCUUCUGAGUAAACCGAUUAAAUAAAUCAAAACUUUCAACAACGGAUCUCUUGGUUCUGGCAUCGAUGAAGAACGCAGCGAAAUGCGAUAAGUAAUGUGAAUUGCAGAAUUCAGUGAAUCAUCGAAUCUUUGAACGCACAUUGCGCCCGCUAGUAUUCUGGCGGGCAUGCCUGUCCGAGCGUCAUUUCAACCCUCAAGCCCCCGGGCUUGGUGUUGGGGAUCGGCGAGCCUCCGCGCCCGCCGUCCCCUAAAUCUAGUGGCGGUCUCGCUGUAGCUUCCUCUGCGUAGUAGCACACCUCGCACUGGGAAACAGCGCGGCCACGCCGUUAAACCCCCAACUUCUGAACGUUUGACCUCGGAUCAGGUAGGAAUACCCGCUGAACUUAAGCAUAUCAAUAAGCCGGAGGAAAGC